rnacentral:pre_miRNA from 1 species
UAUAACAGAUUUUGAGUUUUUACCUGCAACGUUUGAUCACUCGUCUUAUUCAAUUUUUUUUAAAAUUAUUAAUUAUUUUAUUUGUGACUUACUUUAUUAUCUAUAGUACUUUAAGCACAACUUUUCGUUUUUUAGAUUUACAAAAAAAAUUUAAAUAAGACGAGUGGCCAAACGUUACAAGCAAAAACUGAAAAUCCCUUUUAUC